AGUAGGAACUGUCCAGUUGUCUAAAAAACAACUGUUAGCAAGAGCCGGGCAAGACCGGUGCCAGCCGCCGCGGUAACACCGGCGGCUCGAGUGGUGACCGCUUUAUUGGGUCUAAAGGGUCUGUAGCCGGUCUAACAAGUUCUUUGGAAAAUCUGGUCGCUUAACGAUCAGGCUGCUAGGGGAUACUGUUGACUUGGGACCGGGAGAGGUCAGAGGUACUUUGGGGGUAGGGGUGAAAUCUUGUGAUCCUCGAAGGACCCACCAGAUGGCGAAGGGCAUCUACCAGAACGGAUCCGACGGUGAGGGACGAAAGCUAGGGGCACGAACCGGAUUAGAUACCCGGGUAGUCCCAGCCGUAAACGAUGCCCGCUAGGUGUCUCAGUUUUACUGCGAGUAAAAUUGGUGCCGUAGGGAAGCCGUGAAGCUCGCCACCUGGGAAGUACGGCCGCAAGGCUGAAACUUAAAGGAAUUGGCGGGGGAGCACUACAACGGGUGGAGCCUGCGGUUUA
rnacentral:rRNA from 1 species